UACGAAGGGGGCUAGCGUUGCUCGGAAUCACUGGGCGUAAAGGGCGCGUAGGCGGCUUGGCAAGUGGAAGGUGAAAUCCCUCGGCUUAACCGAGGAACUGCCCUCCAAACUGCUUCGCUUGAGACCGGGAGAGGUGAGUGGAAUUCCCAGUGUAGCGGUGAAAUGCGUAGAUAUUGGGAGGAACACCAGUGGCGAAGGCGGCUCACUGGACCGGUACUGACGCUGAUGCGCGAAAGCGUGGGGAGCAAACGGG
rnacentral:rRNA from 1 species